rnacentral:lncRNA from 1 species
CGUUUUUAGCACACACGAACAGUUCAACCCAUUUUCCCUAACUACAGAUUCUGGGCAGUAGCAAAGUUUAUUUCUGGAGGUGUUUAUCAGAAUGUCAGUUUUACUGUGGGGUUCCUAUCGUGGGUUAUUAACACCGGACUCUUUAAAACUAAUCAUCAGAUAAGGUUUGCCCUCCUCUCCAAUAUCACCAGCAUCUUCCUUAUUCUCAGCAGCAACGGCAUCUUAAAUGAUCGUUCCUGUCUUCAGCAGCAGCAGCAGCAGCAACAGCAAAUGGAGGUGCAGGUACAGUUAAGCAAUCAUCUACAGCACUGGACUCCAAUGGUGAAGCUUGGCAUCUUCACAGAGCAGAGGACUGUGAUACCUGGAAGCAGACAUGGCAGGAGCUUUGAAGUGCUUUUAAAUUACUGGCUAAUGGAGCUUUCAGUGCCGUGGGCCACACUCUCCUCCUGUGAUCCGUCAUCUCCAGCAAGCAAACUGGCUCUGCUGCAACGUCAGCCUCACUAAUAUGGGACAGUAAGCCAAUUUUUCUAGAUUUCCCUGGUGCUGUUAGCAAUUUGGAUUUGUCUCUGAGAGAGGCUACACAAGGCUUAGAAUAUCAAUUUAAAUUCCUGAACUAAAAACCUGUAAUAAAAAUCUGACUUUCAAGUGCUUCCA